rnacentral:rRNA from 1 species
AAUCAACGCUGGCGGCGUGCCUCAGACAUGCAAGUCGAACGAUUAAAGCUCCCUUCGGGGAGUGCAUAAAGUGGCGCACGGGUGAGUAACACGUAAGUAAUCUACCCCCGAGUGGGGAAUAACGUCCGGAAACGGACGCUAAUACCGCAUAAUGCAGCGGCACCGACAGGUGACAGUUGUUUAAGGAGAAAUUCGCUUGAGGAGGAGCUUGCGGCAGAUUAGCUUGUUGGUAAGGUAACGGCUUACCAAGGCUACGAUCUGUAACCGGUCUAAGAGGACGGUCGGUCACACUGACACUGAAUAACGGGUCAGACUCCUACGGGAGGCAGCAGUCGGGAAUUUUGGGCAAUGGGCGAAAGCCUGACCCAGCAACGCCGCGUGAAGGAUGAAGUAUUUCGGUAUGUAAACUUCGAAAGAAUGGGAAGAAUCAAUGACGGUACCAUUUAUAAGGUCCGGCUAACUACGUGCCAGCAGCCGCCGUAA